rnacentral:misc_RNA from 1 species
UCUCUCUCUCUCUCUCUCUCUUGCUCUGAGUCUGAACUCUUGGUUUACAGGAUAUAUAUUAUAUAUAUAAAGAAGGAAGGUGAGGUGGUGAUGGAUGAGCAUGUGAUUUUAUGAAUUGGAUUCGCUUUCUGUGUAAAAAGCUGAGGAUUCUCUUUGUCUUCUCACUUGGGUUUGUUUCCCAUUUUUAAUAAUUUCAUGGGAAAGGAAGAUCUAAAACCAUUCUAAGACAGAAUUCGUGUCUGAUUUUCCUGGAAAAGUUCCCUGAUUUUGCUGCAACAUUUCUGUUUCUCGCAUCCCCAGAAGCUAAAUUUGGUCUUUUGGUCUGUCUUUCUCUUUGGGUAUCUGAUUUUUAGUGUUUAUUUUUUGUAAAUGAAAUAAUGUUUGUUUGUAAUCUCUCUGUCUAGCUGUUUGUGUAAUUUGUUCUGUUUGUUUCAAGCUCGUUUGCUAAUUAGAUCUCCAUUUUGACUGGGGUUUAUUUGUUUGUUGGGUGAUCUGUCUUUGUUCUGUGAUUGCUUUUUGUGUAUCGCAAUUGUUCUAAAGAUUUUGUGAGAUUUGUAAUUGUUAAUCUCUUGCCUUGGAGUAUUAUCUCUGUAUUCUAGGCUUUUCUUAGCAGUUUGUGUUUUCUUGUAUUUGUUGUCUGUAGCUUCAAAUAUAAUCUUUAAUCUUUAGAGCUUAUAAUUUCUGUGCCCCUAGGGUUUCCUUUGCACUCCGGGUGUUAGGAUUUUGGGUGGUGCAUACCUUAAUAUCACGACCUGUUGGUGUUCCCCUUCUGGUCUUUGCCAAAUCUGUUUUAGACGCUGUAUACUUCUGUAGAUGGAUAAGGACAAAGCCCCAGAUCAUAGCAGUGGUUUACCACCGCCGUCGGGUCGUUUCUCAGGUUUUUCACCAUCUGGAAGUUCUUUUACUGUGAAACCUGAGCCAUCAUCGUCUUCAUUUCCUCCCAUGGCUCCAGCUACUAGUUCAGACCCUAGUCAUUUUGGUCAUGGAUCAGAUUCUAGCAGCUUUAGUCAUGACAUUAGCCGUAUGCCUGAUAACCCACCUAAGAAUUUGGGCCACCGACGUGCUCAUUCAGAGAUUCUCACUCUUCCUGAUGAUAUUAGCUUUGGUAGUGAUCUUGGCGUAGUAGGUGGUGCAGAUGGGCCCUCUUUCUCUGAUGAGAAUGAGGAGGAUUUGUUAUCAAUGUACCUUGAUAUGGAUAAGUUAAAUUCAUCCUGUGCCACAUCUACUGUUCAAUUGGGGGAGUCAUCAACUCCAGCAUCAGGAUCGGUAGUACCACCAGAUGUCAGUGCUGGCCCUAGUGAAAGGCCAAGAGUUAGGCACCAACACAGCCAGUCAAUGGAUGGAUCGACUACUAUCAAGCCGGAGAUGCUCAUAUCAGGUGCAGAGGAGGUGUCUCCAGCUGAUUCUAAGAAAGCCGUGUCUGCUGCAAAGCUUGCUGAACUUGCUCUUAUUGAUCCUAAACGUGCAAAAAGGAUUUGGGCAAAUAGACAAUCAGCUGCAAGGUCAAAGGAAAGGAAAAUGCGGUAUAUAGCUGAACUUGAACGGAAAGUGCAAACACUGCAAACAGAAGCAACAUCGUUGUCUGCUCAAUUGACUCUAUUACAGAGGGAUACAAAUGGUCUGACUGUUGAAAAUAGUGAACUCAAACUGCGGUUGCAAACAAUGGAGCAGCAGGUCCACUUACAAGAUGCAUUAAAUGAUGCAUUGAAAGAAGAAAUUCAGCAUCUGAAGGUAUUGACUGGUCAAGCUAUGCCAAAUGGUGGACCCAUGAUGAACUUUGCAUCUUUUGGAGGGGGCCAGCAGUUCUAUCCCAACAAGCAUGCCAUGCAUACUCUUUUGACCACGCAGCAGUUUCAGCAGCUCCAAAUUCAUUCGCAGAAACAGCAGCAUCAAUUCCAGCAGCAUCAACUGCUUCAGCUUCAGCAGCAACAAUUGCAGCAGCAGCAGCAAGAACAACAGCAGCAGCCAGUUGGAGAUUUGAAAAUGAGGGGAACAAUGCCUUCUCCAAACCAGAAAGAUAAUGCAUCAGAUAUUAACCCUCCUGCAACAAAUGACUGAGAAGUGAUUUUGGCCAUUGUGCAGCCAUCUUGUGCAAGGGACUCCUCUUGUGUAAAAUUGUAGUUGCGGUAUGUUGUCAGAUAGGAUAUCUGGAGUCUGACUCUCCAAAACUCUUAUUUUAUUGAUUUUUUUACUCAGUCUGUUUAGGUGCAUUUGAAUUCUAUUUGUUUUAGGCAGUUCUAUAUUCUAAGUUUAGUUAGAGGCAUUGUUAUAUGAUAUAUUCAGAUGAUAUAGUUUAUGUAGCAUCUUUGAUGUGAUCUUAUAUAAUCUUUGACGGGAUUUGUUCGAAUUGGAAGUUGUAGCUUCCUAUCCCUGCUUCACUCUCCAAGUACUUGUUUUUGUUUGAUCGAUGAUGGGUAUUGUUCAUGUUCUGAUGGGUGCUCCUCUUAGCUGAGAAGUGGAUUUUGCCCUUAUAAGAAGACGUUGUUUUCAGGCUUGUAGUUGCAAUGCCAAUGGGUUGGUUGCUGUGUGAAACUUCGAUGUGAGUGUAAUUAUCAAAUAUGAUUUUAUGAAUGAACUUUUAGUAUUCUAUAUCAUGCACAUGAUUCGUAAAACAUUGUCAAAUUACUUUUGGCAAUUUCAAGGGGGGAGAUGAACUUAUUUGGAUAUCGAAGUAUGUAAAUGCCAUUUCUUCCUAUUUGUUACCAUGUCUUCUCCCAUUUGCCUGUGGAAAACUCUGCAAGAUGGGAUUUAUUUAUAUGUGGCAGCUUAAUUCAACAUUGUUUUAGCCUCUCAAAUUGUAAUCUUUUCAACAUGUA